GUGGGGAAUAUUGCACAAUGGGCGAAAGCCUGAUGCAGCAACGCCGCGUGAGGGACGACGGCCUUCGGGUUGUAAACCUCUUUUAGUAGGGAAGAAGCGAAAGUGACGGUACCUGCAGAAAAAGCACCGGCUAACUACGUGCCAGCAGCCGCGGUAAUACGUAGGGUGCAAGCGUUAUCCGGAAUUAUUGGGCGUAAAGAGCUCGUAGGCGGUCUGUCGCGUCUGCUGUGAAAACUGGAGGCUCAACCUCCAGCCUGCAGUGGGUACGGGCAGACUAGAGUGCGGUAGGGGAGAUUGGAAUUCCUGGUGUAUCGGUGGAAUGCGCAGAUAUCAGGAGGAACACCGAUGGCGAAGGCAGAUCUCUGGGCCGUAACUGACGCUGAGGAGCGAAAGCGUGGGGAGCGAACAGGAUUAGAUACCCCAGUAGUCC
rnacentral:rRNA from 1 species